rnacentral:rRNA from 1 species
CCUACGGGUGGCUGCAGUGAGGAAUAUUCCUCAAUGGACGAGAGUCUGACCCAGCAACGUAGCGUGAAGGAUGACUGCCUUAUGAGUUGUAAACUUCGUUUAUAUGGGAAUAAAAUGUUCCAAGUGUGGGAUUUUGUAUGUACCAUACGAAUAAGGAUCGGCUAACUCAGUGCCAGCAGCCGCGGUAAUAAGGAGGAUACGAGGGUUAUCCGGAUUUAUUGGGUUUAAAGGGAGCGUAGGUGGAGUGUUAAGUCAGUUGUGAAAGUUCACGGCUCAACCGUAAAAUUUCAGUGGAAACUGGCAAUCGUGAGUGCAGAAGAGGUGAGUGGAAUUCGUGGUGUAGCGGUGAAAUGCGUAGAUAUCACGAAGAACUCCAAUUGCGAAGGCAGCUCACUGGUCUGUAACUGACACUGAGGCUCGAAAGUGUGGGUAUCAAACAGGAUUAGAUACCCUUGUAGUC